UUCAGUCAUUACAUCAUUCCUUUACCACAGGUAUCAGUCAUUACAUCAUUCCUUUACCACAGGUAUCAGUCAUUACAUCAUUCCUUUACCACAGGUAUCAGUCAUUACAUCAUUCCUUUACCACAGGUAUCAGACAUUACAUCAUUCCUUUACCACAGGUAUCAGUCAUUACAUCAUUCCUUUACCACAGGUAUCAGUCAUUACAUCAUUCCUUUACCACAGGUAUCAGUCAUUACAUCAUUCCUUUACCACAGGUAUCAGUCAUUACAUCAUUCCUUUACCACAGGUAUCAGUCAUUACAUCAUUCCUUUACCACAGGUAUCAGUCAUUACAUCAUUCCUUUACCACAGGUAUCAGUCAUUACAUCAUUCCUUUACCACAGGUAUCAGUCAUUACAUCAUUCCUUUACCACAGGUAUCAGUCAUUACAUCAUUCCUUUACCACAGGUAUCAGUCAUUACAUCAUUCCUUUACCACAGGUAUCAGUCAUUACAUCAUUCCUUUACCACAGGUAUCAGUCAUUACAUCAUUCCUUUACCACAGGUAUCAGUCAUUACAUCAUUCCUUUACCACAGGUAUCAGUCAUUACAUCAUUCCUUUACCACAGGUAUCAGUCAUUACAUCAUUCCUUUACCACAGGUAUCAGUCAUUACAUCAUUCCUUUACCACAGGUAUCAGUCAUUACAUCAUUCCU